rnacentral:rRNA from 1 species
UACGAAAGGUGCAAGCGUUGUUCGGAAUCAUUGGGCGUAAAGCGCACGUAGGCGGGGAUGUGUGUCGAUUGUGAAAUCCCAGGGCUCAACCCUGGAAUUGCAGUCGAAACUGCAUCUCUUGAAUACUUGAGAGGGUGGGGGAAUUCCUGGUGAAGCAGUGAAAUGCGUAGAUAUCAGGAGGAACAUCGGAGGCGAAGGCGCCUACCUGGCAAGAUAUUGACGCUGAGGUGCGAAAGUGCGGGGAGCAAACAGG